rnacentral:rRNA from 1 species
CGCACGGGUGAGUAACACGUAUGCAACCUGCCUGCCACAGCCGGAUAAUCGGGAGAAAUUCCGUCUAAUACGGCAUAAUGCAUCGACGGGACAUCCUGUUGGUGCCAAAGGUUAAUUCCGGUGGCGGAUGGCAUGCGUCGCAUUAGUUAGUUGGCGGUGUAACGGACCACCAAGACGACGAUGCGUAGGGGUUCUGAGAGGAAGGUCCCCCACACUGGUACUGAGACACGGACCAGACUCCUACGGAAGGCAGCAG